AUACGGAGGAUCCGAGCGUUAUCCGGAUUUAUUGGGUUUAAAGGGUGCGCAGGCGGGAGAUUAAGUCGGCGGUGAAAUUUUGCAGCUCAACUGUAAAAGUGCCUUCGAAACUGGUUUCCUUGAGUGUAGAUGAAGUAGGCGGAAUUUGUGGUGUAGCGGUGAAAUGCAUAGAUAUCACGAGGAACUCCGAUUGCGCAGGCAGCUUACUAAACUACUACUGACGCUCAGGCACGAAGGCGUGGGGAUCAAACAGGAUUAGAUACCCUGGUAGUCCACGCAGUAAACGAUGAUUACUAGCUGUUUGCGAUACAAUGUAAGCGGCUGAGCGAAAGCGUUAAGUAGUCCACCUGGGGAGUACGUCCGCAAGAAUGAAACUCAAAUGAAUUGACGGGG
rnacentral:rRNA from 1 species